rnacentral:rRNA from 1 species
UGUGCAAACAAUGUCGACAAGCGGCAUCCCCAUUCGGCCCGUCUUGAAACACGGACCAAGGAGUCUGACAUGCUUGCGAGCCGACGGGUGCAGAAGCCCGGGAGGUGCAAGGAAGCUAAUGCGUGUGGGAUCCCCCAGUCGGGGGGUGCACCACCCACCGACCCUGAUCUUAUGUGAAGGGUUCGAGUGCGAGCAAGCCUGUUGGGACCCGAAAGAUGGUGAACUAUGCCUGAGCGGGGCGAGGCCAGGGGAAACUCUGGUGGAGGCCCGCAGCGAUACUGACGUGCAAAUCGUUCGUUUGACUUGGGUAUAGGGGCGAAAGACUAAUCGAACCAUCUAGUAGCUGGUUCCCUCCGAAGUUUUCCCUCAGGAUAGCUGGAGCCCUCUUCGAAGUUCUAUCGGGUAAAGCGAAUGAUUAGAGGCAUCGGGGGCACAAUGCCCUCGACCUAUUCUCAAACUUUAAAUAGGUAGGAUGGCUCGGCUGCUUUGGUGAGCUGAGCCACGGAAUCCAGGCUCCAAGUGGGCCAUUUUUGGUAAGCAGAACUGGCGAUGCGGGAUGAACCGAAAGCCGGGUUACGGUGCCUAAUUGUGCGCUAACCUAGAGCCCACAAAGGGUGUUGGUCGAUUAAGACAGCAGGACGGUGGUCAUGGAAGUCGAAAUCCGCUAAGGAGUGUGUAACAACUCACCUGCCGAAUCAACUAGCCCCGAAAAUGGAUGGCGCUUAAGCGCGCAACCCACACCCGGCCGUCGGUGUUACGCCAAGCGCCGACGAGUAGGAGGGCGCAGCGGCCGUUGUGAAACCCAGGGCGCGAGCCCCGUGCGGAGCGGUCGUCCGGUGCGGAUCUUGU